rnacentral:lncRNA from 1 species
UGUAAAAAAUUGGCUGAUAGUGAAGCUUAGAGAGCAUUUGGAGCAGUCCGAUAGACGACUGAAGGAGCUCAUUAUUGGAGAAGUCCAGAGGGUACGAUAGGAGUUCAUCCAUUGGAGGAAUCUGGAGGACACUGUGGAAGGUCAACUGCUGGAGGAGUCCGAAUGGUACUGUAGAAGCUCGGAUGGUCGGGGGAGUUCAGAAAGACGCCGCAUAAGGUCGAAAGCCGAAAG